rnacentral:rRNA from 1 species
UAGGGAAUAAUGCACAAUGGAGGAAACUCUGAUGCAGCGACGCCGCGUGAGUGAUGAAGGCCUUCGGGUCGUAAAGCUCUGUCGCAGGGGAAUAACACAAUGAAGGUACCCUGUAAGGAAGGAUCAGCUAACUUCGUGCCAGCAGCCGCGGUAAGACGAGGGAUCCUAGCGUUGUUCGGAAUUAUUGGGCGUAAAGCGGGUGUAGGUGGCUUUGUAAGUCAGGUGUGAAAGCCUAGGGCUCAACCCUAGAAGUGCAUUUGAUACUGCGAAGCUUGAGUGUUGGAGAGGAUAGUAGAAUUGUUGGUGUAGUGGUGAAAUACGUAGAUAUCAACAGGAAUACCGGAGGCGAAGGCGGCUAUCUGGCCAAACACUGACACUGAGAUCCGAAAGCGUGGGGAUCAAACAGGAUU